GCCUAUACCGAGGCUCUGAGUAUCUAACGCGGGGCCGCGCGAGGCCUAAAUUUAGGCGUCCGCCGGAAGUACGCGUACAGAAGGAGGUUCCGUGCCACGGGCUCGAUCGCGCGUUGAUUUCAGGGGCCAAAAUAUUCUUAAGCAACUCAAAUUGGAAUGGAUUUGGCGAGAAUCAUCCGAACAAAUUAUAAUAUUGAAGAGAUUGCCACCUAAUCAAUGUUGGACAAUCGCCUCAGAAAUAUUAUUUUAAGCUUAGCAGAAAAGAAUUUCAAAAGUUGUAGAGGCGUAAAAUGAAUAUGUGCGCUAAAGCAGAUUUAUGAUCAUUUAUGAUCAUUUUGAUUGUAACAGGGACCCGAUGUUUGUAUUAAUGUAAUACAAUAUUGAUUACCUCUCAUCUUAUAAUUCACAUAAAACCUCAACGACCGUCAUCGCAUUCGUGACGAGAUCCACAACAACUUUGCUUAUACGCAUUCGUUCCCUGCGUGGGUGACACGUGGCGCAUACUAGUCGCAUUGUUGUAGCCAUUAGUGCGAUUCUUCUACCGCAUAAACGAAAUACUUACGGCUUAACGUGCAUGUAAUCCGAGCAUGCGGCAGUUCGUACUUUAUACAGCGUAUAUCGAAGGGAAAAUAAAAAGAUACACAGCGUAUAUUUCAACUUUCUUUUAAUAUGUAUAUUAUAAUACGUAUAUAACUUUUGUCACAUACA